GUAGGGAAUAUUGCGCAAUGGGGGAAACCCUGACGCAGCGACGCCGCGUGAGUGAUGAAGGCCUUCGGGUCGUAAAGCUCUGUUGCAGGGGAAUAAAAAAAUGAAGGUACCCUGUGAGGAAGGAUCGGCUAACUUCGUGCCAGCAGCCGCGGUAAGACGAGGGAUCAUAGCGUUGCUCGGAAUCAUUGGGCGUAAAGAGGGCGUAGGUGGCUUGGUAAGUCAGGUGUGAAAGCCCAGGGCUCAACCCUGGAAGUGCAUUUGAUACUGCUGAGCUUGAGUGUCGGAGAGGGUACCGGAAUACCUGGUGUAGUGGUGAAAUACGUAGAUAUCAGGUGGAACACCGGAGGCGAAGGCGUGUAACUGGACGAACACUGACACUGAGGCCCGAAAGCGUGGGGAUCAAACAGGAUUAGAUACCCCAGUAGUCC
rnacentral:rRNA from 1 species